CUGGUACAGGGUUGAGAGCAUCAGAGGUAUGUUAAGGCAUUAAGGCAUCACAACAACUACAGGCUUAGCCUGUGAGGGAGGACAAGCAAGAUCUGAAUUUACAGCCCCAGCAUACACCAAAAGUCAGGACUUUGCAACUCAGGCAGGUGAGACCUAGACUCAUAGCAUCACACUUGACGUGUGUAGCCAGCUGAAGAUGAGGUUGUGGCUUUAAAUCACCUCUGAAAGGAGGUAUAGCCACUGGUCAACAACACAGACUGCUACAAGCACACUUGAUCAUGCUGGGAGCUUUGCUGGUAUAGGCAGUUGGGAGCACUGCACUGCAUGGCCUGGGGCUUAGGGAGGAGUGAAGACAGAUUGCCCAAGUCCUUCAGUCUUCUCUUCUCCAAAAGGAAUGAUGCUUGGGAGGGAGAGGACAGAGAGACAUUUUCCAGCCAUGCAGGACAUCCUGAUCAUAUCUACCACUCUGUUCAAUUAAUCUUUCAUGCCCCAUUGGGCUAGCUGCAAGGAACCUGAAACUGCAGCAAC